GGUUUGGUGGUGUAGUUGGUUAUCACGUUCGCCUCACACGCGAAAGGUCCCGAGUUCGAACCUCGGCUAAAUCA